CGAUGUGGCACUGGAUUUGGAACCAUCCAAAUUUGGAGUUGAGUGAAUGGGAAGAUAAUCGACAUGGGAUUCCGUGCAUUGACUGAUUCACUGAGGAGUUGAUGAUGCAGGCUCCAAGCAACCCUGCCUUUCUACUGGCUCCCAUCCAGAUGAGGAGAAGGAGGGCCCAUUACGAAUUGGCACAGGGCCAGGGGGAGCAAUACGAAAGGCAAUGCCAGAGGUGCCUUCAGAUGUCCCGGAGUUGGUUACACACAUCUGCCACCUUCUCCAUGGUGACCUGCAACUGCAAGGACUUGGAGGGAAUCCCAUGCCAGUGGCAUUGAAGGUCAUUGCUGCUUAAACUUCUCUGCCAGUGGCUCCACUGGGGACCUGUGUGGCAUCACACAGUCAGUGACACACAAAUGAACACGGGAGGUGGCAGAUGCCCCAUUCAGGAGAGUGCACCAAUUUGUCUAAUUCCACCUGCAUCCCAUAAGCCAGGCUGCAAGAGUGUUGGUACUUGCAGCAAUCUCAGAUUUCCUGCAAGUGCAAGAUGCUAUUGACUGUACACAUGCAGCCUUGAGAGCUCCCUGGCAACAGUCAGUCAUAUUCAUCAAUAGAAAAGGAUUCCACUCUUGAAAGUGCAGCACAUAUGUGAUCACAGAAGGCAAAUUCUGCAUGUUUAUGCUUAGUUCCCAAGGAGCUCUCACGUGGCUUACAUUCUGCCCCAUUCUCAGCUGCCACAGGUUUUUGAAGAACCUCAGUGAUUGCAGGGCUGGCUCUUUGGGAACAAGGUAUACUUUGUAAAGAUCUGGAUGAUGAUGCCACGGUCCAAAGAGUGCUGCUGAGGAGAGCUAAGUGAUGCACGUGCCUCCACCUGUUCUGUGAUUGAGCAGAUGAUAGGCCUCCUAAAGAUGAGUUCAGAUGUUUGGACUGCUCAGGUGGGGCUCUCCAGUAUAGAGUGUGUCCCGGAUCAUCAUUGUCUGCUGCGCCCUGCACAACCUAGCGCUACAAAGGGGGGAUGUCCUGAUUGAGGGAGAUAUGGAAGAUCAAGAUAUCUCCUCCAACAAGGAGGAUGGUGAAGAGGAUGGAGCUGACAAGGGCCAGGAUGUCACUGAGCCAAAGGCAGAGGCCAUAGCAGGGCUUCAACACAGCAGACAGGCCCCUACCAAUCUGAUAGCUACCAGGUUCCAGACAGAGUAAGCUGCCAACACAUUUCUUUAACAUUUUGGUUUUCUGUCCUCUGCUCGUUGGAAGGCCCCAGCUCCUUUUUGUUUAUAGACAUUAUACUUUUCUCUAAUGUGCCUUGAUUUACAAUAGCUGAAUUAAAUUAGUUACCAUUGGCCUUGCUGGUGGUUUGACCAUUUGCAUGCGCCAAACAAUGCUAAUAUGCAGUGCCCUUGGUGCUAAAGACACACAUUAGAACCUGCACAGCACUCAAUUCUCCCGUGACCUCAGGAACCUGUAAGUGGAAUUGUGACUUUACCCAUGCCCUCACAAAGUCCAUGUGCAUGGCAACUUGGAAGCAAUAUCAAAUCUAACCUCUGCAGGGUUGCACUCAUGUAACCCUCACACCUUUCCCAAAGUGGGGACUGACCUGGCAGAGAGCUCUUGCAGUCAGAACCAGAUAGAUGGGUCCACAUGGAGGAGCAGCAUGAGAACACCAUUUGGCCCCUGGAGAUCACUCCUCCGUGCAAAUCGAUGAGGGUAGAUCAUGUUCCUGCCCUAAUCCCCACUCACUCAUAGUAAACACAUAUCACUUGACAUCUUUGUCCUGCCAAGAAGUUUUGAGGUAACUCUGAAGUCCACACACCUGUAGUAUGGGUUGCAGAGGUGCAACCAUUGCUGACCAUACAAUCACAGAGACUCCUCCAGGUCUCAGACCUAGAUAACCUUUGCAUUGGUGCAAGACCAUGAUCCAUCAUUGUUGACACCCAGCCACGGUAAACUUCUUUCCUGCCUGGACCCUGAAGAGGUCUGUUAGAGCUGCUGGUGCUUCACAUAGAUAGCCUCACAGUCCUUGGCAGGGUCUGCACACAGGCCCAUUCUACCCUCUCUCAUCUCAUGCACUAAAAGCCUGGUGCUUCAAAUGAUGUCUGAUGCACUUUGAUUGCAAACCCUUUAUGCAAGGACUACUGCCACAGUUGGCAAGGAGACAAGCAGGCCAACCAAGUCUCCAUGUGAGAUCUGACAAAGGUUUCAGUCAACUGCAUACACACCUCUUAAAUCCUACACUCAAAUUCCUUUUGCAUCAAGGUCAAUUUGCCCAUUGCCUCCUUACUUGCAGCCUUCACUUGCAUGUUAGCUGAAAAUGACAACUCGCCAAGGAAGGUCAUUGACAAUUGAAAGUGCCCACCACAGCUUCCUGCAGACAUAUAAGGCAGCUUCUGGUUUUCUGCUGUUAAGUAGACAGUGCAGAACUUCACUCUCAGCCCUGAACCUGCACCUACAGUGUUACCUGCCAGUCACAUAGCAGAGUUAACUCCCCUUGAGUACUUGUGGCAUCCACCCACAUCUCACAUCACGCAACAGCAACAUAAGGUGCAAUGACCUUGAUGAACAAAUUUUCAGAGGUUAGAACAUGAUAACCUGCAAGAAAUGGUUUGCAUGAUGCAUGGCCAGGCAGCAUACUCACACAUGAUGACUAGUGCUUAAUCAUGCACAUGCAGGAUUACUGAGUACUCACUAUAUUGAUAAUAGCAGAUUGAUAGUAUAAAACUUGCAUAUUGCAGAAAAAAGUCAUUUUCUGUUGAAAAUUUUCAUCAGGACAAUUCACAAGAAUAUGUUGUUUCUCUUACAUUGGUAUUCUUGUGAAUUAUCUUGAUGAGCACAAGACAAAAAGCUUUGACAAAUAUAUGUUGAUAAUGUGAGAGAAGUGAAUCUGUAGGAGUUCAUUAUCGGACUCUGAUGGGGGCCCACAUUCCAGACCCUUAAAUGCUCUUGACCAUUGAAGCAACUAGCAGCAUGGUGGAAUCCAGGAAGCUUCCAAACAUUGCAAGUGAACAUAUAUUCACAAGUGCCAAAACUAUAUACAAUGGUUUAACACCCAUGCCAUCUAUGUGCCUUCAAUACAUCUUAAUUUUUCUUUGUUUAUCACUGUCUAGGUGCAGCCCUGAUAUCCGCAGCUAAGGGGGAAGCAGCCUGAUGACUGAUAUGCCCUGUUGACUGAUGACUUUGGCAGUCAUCGUUUGGUGGCUCGAGGACCUCUAAGGGUCUCCUGCUCAGGUGCAGAUGCACCCUCCUAGGCCUCACCUGCUGGAGGUGAUGGAGUCACUGGCAGAGGGGAAGUGGAGAAGCAGGGCACCCUUGGAAUGUUCUGGGAUCAAGCCCCCAGGGUGCCUGGCUAGUGCUCCUCCUCCCUGUGGGUGCCCAAUGGCACCUCCCUGACUCCUUGAGGACAAGGGGCACCCAGAAGUGCAAUGUCCCCCUCUCGCCUAGCCGCUGCUCUACUGCACCCAUGGCCAGCAGGCCUGGUUGCAUAUCCUGCAGCCAAUGUGCAUUUUACUGGACUUGGGCAGCUCCCACUCUUUCCAUGGAGGCAGCCAAGUGAUUGCAUGCCGGAGCCACGAUAUCUGAUAGAGCAUGGACGGAUUCUGCCAGCCUUUGGUCCAGUCUGUGCAUGACCUCUGGAAACUCAGCCUGACGUUCCCCUGCCUGUCUCUGCAUCUCCAACAUGCUGUCUCUGAGGGCUGACACCAGAGGCUGGUCAACUGAAUGGGCUGAGAAGGGCCCUGGUCUCCAGCAAUCUUCUGAGUGCCAGAGACCUCAGCUGUCACUUCCUGCCACAGCUGUGGACCAGUGUCAGUAAUAUGCUCAUCAGAUUGUGACCCUGAGCCCACUGUAGGACGUGGACCCACUGAGCUAACUGCAUCUGUGCUGGUGGAGGGUGCAGGUGAACUCUGUGAUGGUGUAUCCUCUGAGGCAUCCGCCUUAAGAGGCGGGGUUGGACAUGGAUUUGUGGCUGGUCUGGAUUGAUGGCCUCCUCCAUUUCUUGCUGGUACCUGGAAUAGAGAAAAGAAAGAUUUAGUGAUUCACUAAGCAGGCUCCUUAAUUGAAUGUGUCACUCCAUGGGGAAAGCUGACAACUGCAGCCUGGAGGCAUCCUCACUGGCUUUUUAGGGGAGUGUCACCUUCAGCACAGGCAUAGUCCUGCUCCUCCCUGGCUAUCUCCGUGGCCUGAUCCUUAAACAGGUGAGGCCUGAAUGUCUGGAAUUCCUCCUCCAGUCUGGGAGCCCCCCUGCUUAUUGUGACUGUAUGAGCAGCUCAGGAGCAUGCAUGCCUAUGGCAGCUGCUCGGCCUUGCCGCAGUUACUGAUUAAAAAGCAGGUUGUCCUACAACUUACAUAAGAUUGACAGUGUGAAUUGGCUGGCACACAUCCAGUGCAGAUGUCCCAUCUGCUGGUGAGUGCUGCAUCCCAAACUCCUGUGUGACAUUCCUGUACACUCACUCACUCCAAGGAGGCUUCGCUGAACCAUGGAGCCACAUGCUGCUUUCUUUUCUGACUCUUGGCAGAAUCUGGAGCUCCUGGCCUGCAGUGAGUGAAUGACUGUCCAGGUGCCCCUUAAAUAUGGUGCCUGGACCUUUGAGCCCACAAGCUUAACAACUGAGGCAAUAAAUUAUUUAAGCUAUUACUGGCUCAAACUGCCCAACAUGUAUGGCAAAAAACAGGUUUAAGCUGAAUCUAGCAUUAAAAAACUAAAAUUAUAUGAAUUAAAAUCAAAAUGGACUACAAUAAAGAAAAAAUAUCAGUUCUUGUUAUAAUUAUACCCAUUGAUGCUAAAGCUACACUUUACUAGCCAUUCAUGUUCCCUGUUGAUAAUGAUUCGUGCAACAAUUUAAGCAGUCUCUUUUAUGCUUCCAAAAUCAAUGAUUAUUACCAUUGUUGAAAGUCUGGCAGACUUUGUUCCACCUGAUACACCUUGUUAAACAAAUAGCAAAAUUUACCCACCAUUUAAGCUUGUAAAAUAGAGGUGAUAUUGCAACAGUCUGGAGCUGUUCCCUCUGUCAGGUGCUACCUUAUGGUGCUAACAGUGCUCGCCCCACUACGAGAUUCACCGUGCUCCACACGGAUGCAUAGGUAAUAAACUGAACAGUGCAGGAUUGCACGUGGUCAGCCAUCCUGCCCCCCCAGUGGAAAUCACUCCCACUUCCACUCCUGGCAUCGAACUUAGAUUUCAGAUUGGAAGAUUCCUCCCAGAGUGUUAGUGCUCAAAUAAUAUUGAACCCAGCAGAUGUAAACCUGUCUUUUCAAUUCAGGGGAAUACAGUUCCCAAUUAGACUUUCAUAUUCUAUGAUGUAAACAAGUCAGAAGGCCAGACUCCUGACAAAAUUUGUAUUUAUAUCCCCAGACUGUUUUUACAUAUGGACAGUUUUAUGUAGCUUUUUCCAGAGUGAGAAGUCUUGAUUUUGUUCAAGUUUUUGCUGAAAGAAUGACUAGAAAACCCACAUUUAAAGAAGUACUGUGCUGUUGUAAUAAAGACAUUAAUUUCACCA